UACGUAGGGUGCAAGCGUUUGUCCGGAAUUAUUGGGCGUAAAAGAGCUCGUAGGCGGUUUUGUUGCGUCGGCUGUGAAAUCCCGAGGCUCAACCUCGGGUCUGCAGUCGAUACGAGCAAACUAGAGUGUUGCAGGGGAGACUGGAAUUCCUGGUGUAGCGGUGAAAUGCGCAGAUAUCAGGAGGAACACCGGUGGCGAAGGCGGGUCUCUGGGCAACAACUGACGCUGGAGGAGCGAAAGCGUGGGGAGCGAACAGG
rnacentral:rRNA from 1 species